GCACCCCCUGCUGCAGGUCUCAGCUCCGGUGAAGAAGAAGGCCAGCUGCCCAGCAGACAGGGACAAGGAGUGUGCCCACAGCUCUGGGGCAGGCACAGCUGUCCUAGGGACUGGAAGCACCUGCUGAGCUCGUACAAAAAAGGCCGCUUGGGAAGGCUGAAGAAAUCCAGUUGUGUGAACUUAACGAAUGAUUAGAGGAGAAAGAAAAAGAGCCUGCAAAACCCACGGGCAUUUUAGGGACUGACCAUCCACUUGGAGUCAACUGUAUCUCAUAACGAACGAAGUAAAUAUUCCGUCCCAGCCUGAGGACUCUCGGCAUCUUGGCAUCUUGGGGUCUGCGUUACAUCAAACGGAAAAGAUGAAGCAUUUUGACAACUUUAAAUACCAAUGGCAGCGCCUAUUCAACGAAAACCACAGAGGGGUUGCCUCCCCUACCCAGAACGCCGAUUCUGUUUCCUAGGAAUUACUACUUCUUUUUAUAUUAUUAUUAUUAUACUUUAAGUUCUAGGGUACAUGUGCACAACGUGCAGGUUUGUUACAUAUGUAUACAUGUGCCAUGUUGGUGUGCUGCACCCAUCAACUCGUCAGCACCCAUCAAUUCGUCAUUUACAUCAGAAACGUUUGGAGUCUAUUAAUCUGCUGCUCACUUUCGAAAAUGCCAUCAGCCUCUUUCCGGUCUCAAUGUGCUGUGGAGGAGGGUGCUCCCCAGAGAGCAGCCCUGUGACAGAUGGAUGGAAGGACCCCCAAAUGGCUGAACUGAGAAGAAUGAGCAUAUUAGGAGGCCAUAGCAUUGGGGAACCUCUCAGGCAGACAGACCAAGCCGUGGAAACUGCAGACUUAUUUCUAUGUUUUAGUAAACACCUUUGCUUCAUUUUCCCUGUCUCCGCCUGGACUGAGGGUCGCCUCACCUCUCCUGGUGUCCAGAGCCUCCUUCAGCACAGAUGUUUCAAACCUGAGUUCUCACAAACAACGGAGUCCAGCCCUUCUCAACACGGGAAAGCCCUUGAGCCAUCUUUGAUUUGUGUGUUUUGA
rnacentral:lncRNA from 1 species